UACGAAGGAUUCGAGCGUUAUCCGGAUUUAUUGGGUUUAAAGGGUGCGUAGGUGGACUAAUAAGUCAGUGGUGAAAGCCCGCAGCUUAACUGGGGAACUGCCAUUGAUACUGUUAGUCUUGAGUACAGUUGAGGUGGGCGGAAUGUGUCAUGUAGCGGUGAAAUGCUUAGAUAUGACACAGAACACCGAUUGCGAAGGCAGCUCACUAAGCUGUAACUGACACUGAGGCACGAAAGCGUGGGGAGCAAACAGG
rnacentral:rRNA from 1 species